UCAUCUUUGUAUCUCCAGUGUCUAGCAGUUCCUGAUACAUAGUUUUAGCUGAAUUUUGGAACAUGGCCACUGCCUCACCAAAGUCAGAUACUACUAAUAACCACAGUGGAAGGUUGCAGUUACAGGUAACUGUUUCUAGUGCCAAACUUAAGAGAAGAAAGAACUGGUUCGGAACAGCAAUAUAUACAGAAGUAGUUGUAGAUGAGGAAAUUAGGAAAACAGCAAAAUCCAGUAGUUCUUCUAAUCUAAAAUGGGAUGAACAGCUAACUGUAAAUGUUACGCCACAGACUACAUUGGAAUUUCGAGUUUGGAGUCAUCACACUUUAAAAGCAGAUGCUUAAUUAGGAAAUGCAACGACAGAUCUGAAACAAGCUCUGUUGAUACACAAUAGAAAACUGGAAAGAGUGAAAGAACAAUUAAAACUUUC
rnacentral:lncRNA from 1 species